CGGGUGAGUAACGCGUGAGGAACCUGCCUCAAAGAGGGGGACAACAGUUGGAAACGACUGCUAAUACCGCAUAAGCCCACGGCUCGGCAUCGAGCAGAGGGAAAAGGAGUGAUCCGCUUUGAGAUGGCCUCGCGUCCGAUUAGCUAGUUGUGAGGUAACGGCCCACCAAGGCAACGAUCGGUAGCCGGACUGAGAGGUUGAACGGCCACAUUGGGACUGAGACACGGCCCAG
rnacentral:rRNA from 1 species